rnacentral:rRNA from 1 species
UGCGCAGGCGGCUGAGUGUGUCGGAUGUGAAAUUUUGGGGCUUAACUCCAAAACUGCGUCCGAAACUACUCAGCUAGAGGCUCGGAGAGGUAAGCGGAAUUCCAGGUGUAGCAGUGAAAUGCGUAGAUAUCUGGAGGAACACCAAAGGCGAAGGCAGCUUACUGGACGAGUACUGACGCUAAGGCACGAAAGCGUGGGGAGCAAAAGGGAUUAGAUACCCCUGUAGUCCACGCCCUAAACUUUGUACACUAGGUCUUGGGACAUUCGACCGUUUCAGGAUCCAAGCUAACGCGAUAAGUGUACCGCCUGAGGACUACGGCCGCAAGGCUAAA